rnacentral:piRNA from 1 species
UGGCACAGAACCUGCUGCUGC